rnacentral:rRNA from 1 species
UACGGAGGGUGCAAGCGUUAUCCGGAUUCACUGGGUUUAAAGGGUGCGUAGGUGGGUUGGUAAGUCAGUGGUGAAAUCUCCGUGCUUAACAUGGAAAUUGCCAUUGAUACUACUGGUCUUGAAUUUUCUGGAGGUAAGCGGAAUAUGUCAUGUAGCGGUGAAGUGCUUAGAUAUGACAUAGAACACCGAUUGCGAAGGCAGCUUACUACAGGGACAUUGACACUGAGGCACGAAAGCGUGGGGAUCAAACAGG